rnacentral:tRNA from 1 species
CGGGUAGCUCAGUUGGUAGAGCAGGGGACUGAAAAUCCCCGUGCCGAGGGUUCGAGUCCCCCUCCGA